CACCAAAAGUCCAUGGAUAGUAGUUUCAAAGUUUUAUUGUAUCCAAAAUGUCUUGUUGCUGGAAAGUCAUGAUGAGCUUGAAAAACAUAUAAUCGAGCUUCACCUUCUGGAAUAUAUAGGCGUCCCUAAAAAUAUAGUAGAUUGUUCUUGAAUUCAAACUUGGAAGUAUCAUGAGAUUUUGAAGGAUUUCCCUUAAUAUCAAAUAAG
rnacentral:lncRNA from 1 species